rnacentral:lncRNA from 1 species
GUGUCAUAUACCAUACCACAUAGAACAGUAGAUAUUUCUAAAGAACACUGACAAGUCUCAUAUACCAUACCACAUAGAAACAGUAGUAGUCUCCUAAUAAAACCUAACAAGUCUCAUAUACCAUACCACAAAGAACAGUAGAUGUGUCCUAUAGACAAUAACUAGUCUCAUAUACCAUACCACGUUGAACAGAGGAUGUCUCCUUAUAGACAAUUACUAGUCUCAUGCAUCAUACCAC